rnacentral:rRNA from 1 species
UACGAAGGGUGCAAGCGUUACUCGGAAUUACUGGGCGUAAAGCGUGCGCAGGCGGUUUUGUAAGCCAGAUGUGAAAUCCCCGGGCUUAACCUGGGAAUGGCAUUUGGGACUGCAAGGCUGGAGUGCGGCAGAGGAGACUGGAAUUCCUGGUGUAGCAGUGAAAUGCGUAGAUAUCAGGAGGAACACCGAUGGCGAAGGCAGGUCUCUGGGCUGACACUGACGCUCAUGCACGAAAGCGUGGGGAGCAAACAGG